rnacentral:lncRNA from 10 species
UGAAUGUGGCGGCACGUGCCUGUAAUCCCAGCUACUUGGGAGGCUGAGGCAGGAGAAUCACUUGAACCUGGGAGGCGGAGGCUGCAGUGAGCCAAGAUCGCGCCACUGCACUCCAGCCUGGGCUACAGCGUGAGACUCUGUGUCUCAAACAAACAAACAAACAAAGUUUGAAACCACUGUGUUCAUCUCACACCUUGCAGAGAGAUAUAUGCCCAGGAUGGGGCUGAAUAAAAAGCUAAUAAUAAUAGCCACCACCUGUGGAGAGCUUCUCUUGGACCACGCAUUCUGCUAAGUCCUUCUCUUGUAUGAGGACCAGUUGUGCCCAGAGAACCUUCUCUGUCUCCUCUAACCAUGGGAUAAAAGGAGAUUUCCACAAGAGCGGCUCAGGGACGCAGCCCAUCUCUUAAGAAGGAGGCUCUGAGAGGGACAAGACCAUGGAUGCAGCACAUGGCCACAAGGCAGUUUCAAGAUGCCCAUGUCAGGCAGAGGAUGGCUCAGUGGUCUCUAACCCACCUAACAUUUCAUGAACUUUACUCCUGGUCCCGCUCCCAAAUUAGACACUGGAGAUAAUGGAUCACUAUACUGCACUGAAGACUCGGAGGGGUUGAGCCGCUGGAGCCACGCAAAUUCAGACACCUCUUCCGCCCCAGGUCACUCUACUCGCCCACGCUGCCUGCCACACCCAUCCGGUUGUGCGGGACACUCCCCGCGUUUCUUCAGCGAUUCUUAUCGGGCUCCCUCCUUGUUCAAUAAAGGUGAAGGGUGUGGGGUUUUCUGUGCAUACGCUCAGGAAGUUGAGUCCCGGUGAAACGUGUCAGGUUGCCAUUUCCCAGGCUGGAAAGAUUUUCCCAGGACGGGUAUGAAUAGACGAUGAAAGUGCACACUCUUACCCGGCUGCCCGACCCAGGUGCCAGGCUUCUGACUCAGGACCAUCUGUGGGUGCGAGUGCAGGGAGGUGUCAUUUCUGAGCAGGGAAGGUGUGAUCUGGGGCCAGAAUGAAUGGCCCUGGUGACUUCUUACCUGAUUCAUCCCACACCAGUCAGAAGGGGCUGUGAAGGCAGCAGCGAAGGAGCCACACAUGGACGUGGAAUGGGCACGCUGACCAUCAUGGUCACGACUGCAAGAAAGCAGGGCUGCGUGGGUUAAUUGGCUGUGUCUGAGGGUCACCCCUGCACAAGGAGGAUGAUGACGACUGCCCUGUGCAACCCUGGGUCAUCUCAGGGGAGAGCCAUUCCCAGGUUCACAGCAAGCACUCUUUUACUCAGAUGGGCCACCUGCAUCAGGCCCCAAGGAAGCACUUAUUAGUAGAAGAAAAAAAACAAAAACCCAGAAAACAGCCAGUGAGACUAUUUUACAAACAAGCGAAGAGCAGCAACUGAAAGCAACAAUAACUACAACAUAAAUCCCUCUGCAAAUAUUUGGGAUUUCAUUUCCACUAAGGAUAAUGAUGGCGUAGAAGGCAUGUCUGUGGGAGUUAUGCACACAGGGAAAAAGGUGGUGAAAAUAAUCAACCAAAAAUAACAAAAUUCAAUUAAUCAAAACAGAACAAAAUAAAAUGAGCCAAACAGCAUAUCUGAAUAUAAGCAUAAUAAUUGUCGUUGGACAAACCUUUGUCAAAUCAAAUUGGCUUCUAGCACACGGGCUGAUACUUUGUGAUUCAAGUGGUGUUCUACCCACAUAAUUCAUUUAGUUGCAAAGAAUGUAACAAAUAAUGCAAUUAUUCCAGAGGAUCACGGUGAGACAUCUAUUUGGUGGUGCCUUAAGCAGAGUGCCCUGAUUCAGAAGAAUUAGACCAAUCUCUGGAUUCACAGCCACUCAUGAAAACUGUAGGCCGGGCACGGUGGCUCAUGCCUGUAAUCCCAGCACUUUGGGAGGCCAAGGCGGGUGGAUCACGAGGUCAGGUGAUCGAGACCAUCCUGGCUAACAUGGUGAAACCCCGUCUCUACCAAAAAUACAAAAAGAAAUUAGCUGGGAGUGGUGGCGGGCACCUGUAGUCCCAGCUACUCGGGAGGCUGAGGCAGGAGAAUCGCUUGAACCCAGGAGGUGGAGGUUGCCGUGAGCCGAGAUCACGCUACUGCACUCCAAUCUGGGUGACCGAGCAAUACUCCGUCUAAAAAAAAAAAGUAAUAAUAAUAAUAAAAUAGGAAACUGCAGUAACUCGGGACAUCUGGGUUCCUUGUCUUUUGUCAAAAUCACAGGGAAUUCAACUCACUGAAUCUAUUGGUCAAUUCAAUUCCGCCAUUGGUCAGUAUGACUCGGCUUUUGACAGAGAGUUUUACCCAAAGACUUGCAGAACUUCCUUCCUGCAAGAUUUCAGAAGCACAGCAAGCAUUGCAAGAGGAAACUACCUUAUAAAUCAUACAAACCCAGCAUCGUGUUCUUUGCUUGUCCUUGCCUGAAUUUACUGGAAAAUCAUGUUGUGAAACCUAAAUGCAAAUGAACCUUUCUUAUUGCAAAUUAAAAACUAAAUCCAUUUUCAACUGAAUUCAAUGGGAAAAACAAGAAUUAUUUUCCUAAAAAGUAAAUAUCCACCACUCCGUAAUAAUUGUGAUCCGCUGUGGCUUAUGUGUCGUGUCUCAGGACAUGGACUCGGUCCUCUGCAUACCUUACCUCUCAUCCUGCAAUAAUCCUGAACAGGUUCCCAUUAUCCCCAUUUUAGAGGUAAGAAAAACACAGCUCUAAGGGUCUAAGUAACAAUCCCAAAGCCAGAAAUCAGUGCAAUCUUUCCUUGUAGGUUCCAUAAAGGAAGACUCCUCAUUGCUCGCUCAGGGUAAAUGUCUACUCUUUGCAAAUGCCAUUCUUAGCAAUCCUUUAAAAACAGUAACUCCUAGAUUGUAGUACUGCUCAAAGUUUCUAAGGAAACUCACAAGCUUAAAGAAAUGGCCGUGGGGUACUUGGGUAAUAGCUUCCCCACUUUCUUAUCCAGGAGCCUGGCUUCCAGGUGUUACCCUAGGCUGGUCAUGAAGAUACGUCCACCUUUUUUUUUGUUUUAAGUUACAGAGUUGCAAAUAUUUUUAAUAUUUUAAAUUGAUAAACCCAAGUUAUUUGAAUGCCAUCUUUAAAGUUUUUGAUUUGUUUUGCUUGUUUGUGCCUUGUCUUGUUUUUAAAACUUUUAUUUUAGGUUCAAGGGUACAUGUGCAGGUUUGUUAUAUAGGUACACUCCUGUCACGGGGGUUUGUUGUAUAGAUUAUUUCCUGAUCCAGUUACUAAACCUACACAUCCUGAAAAGGCAACAUUUCUGAUUCCCUAAGUGCAGGGAGCUCAGUGGGUGGGGCACAAUUGAUUAAUGGUGACCCAGCAGCUGCAGGCAUGCCUUCCCCUCUUAAAUCCUAUAAACCUUUCUCCCAGGGCAGAGAAUGGGACUGGCCUUGUUCCCACAGCUCCCUCCCCUUGCCAUCCUUGAGCCUUGAGAAGGAGCUGCUUACACAGCGAAGAAGGCCGGAAGGUCUGUGCGACAUUCUUUGGUACCAUCUGUGGACAUUACUGUUCCAUGCAGCCGAGGCUCCGUCCAGCGUUCACUGAUCUUACUGUACCUCCCCUCAGAUCUAGGGGAACGUGCUGGGAGCCGCUUCAGAAAUGGGGGACUUUCUUUUUUUUUUUUUUUUGAGAUUUAAAAAACUUUAAUCUCCAAAUUAAGUAUUUCUUUAUAGAACUCUGUUUUAGACAACAAAGAAUGGUAACAUAGUUAAGAGCCCAAACUCUGUGGUCAGGUACAUCUGAGCUAAUGAAUAUACUUAGAAUUCCUGGCAUGUGGUGAGCACUUGGUAGACAUUAUUAUUAUUGUUAUUAAUAAUACCCCAAAUCCAUCCUUCCUCCCAGUUAAUUUCUUUUUUUUUUUCUAUUAUACUUUUAAGUUUUAG